rnacentral:lncRNA from 1 species
CCCGCUCCGGUGUCCUUCCAUGCUGUGGAGGCUCUGUUGUUUCGCUCUUUCUACUGCUUACUCUUCGGGUCCACACUGCUUUUAUGAGCUGUAACACUCACCCUGAAGGUUUGCAACUUGACUCCUGAAGCCAGCAAGACCACGAGCCCCAGGGAGGAACGAACAACUCCAGACGCGCUGCCUUAAGAGCUGUAACACUCACCGAGAAGGUCUGCAGCUUCACUCCUGAGCCAGCGAGGCCACGAACCCACCAGAAGGAAGAAACUCUGAACACAUCCGAACAUCAGAAGGAACAAACUCCAGACGUGCCACCUUAAGAGCUGUUAACACUCACCGCGAGGGUCCGCGGCUUCAUUUUUGAAGUCAGUGAGACCAAGAACCAACCAAUUCGGGACACAAUACCAACUCUUUCAUGCCAGGAGAAGCCUCCUUAAAAAAUUUCGGUGAUUAACAGCAGCACAUGGGUCAAAAUCUCCUGAAAGUUGAGCAGGGGAGCUGUAGAAGAAUUCCUCCUUUUCUCGCAGAUGAAAUCUUAUGAUAUAGCAGGGGUUACCUGGCCAAGAAGGAACACAGAGGAGAACAAAGAAAAUUCAAGGAACUAAAUUCCUUCUCCACCUCAACCACCAGCAUUGAUACUCCAUCACUUAUGUACUGCAUCAAGCCGUCCUCAGAGGUGAGGAAGGUGCUGUCAAGACUAGAAGCAUGUGUCCCUCUCUCCAUUGCAAGAUGGGACAUAGAGAGGAGAAAAGUGGCAGACAGAAGGCUAAUCUCAACUGGAAACCAGAAGGCUAGAAAUCUUACUGAUGUGAUGUCCAGGGAUACAGAGCAUAUGAAGGAUGCAGAGAGUGGGUCAAAUGGAAGGAAUGUAGCAAAACAUGUAAACUUGAAGAGUUAUUUCAAAACAGCUUUCUCCUCCUUAAGCUCCUUCAUUGGUAAAGAAACAUCACAAAAACGUUUUGAGUCAUUCAAUUCACUUUGUAAUCAGGUCUCCAGUGCCAUAAACUGUGAGUACUUGCUAAUUUGCCCCUGAAGAUUUAUUCAUGAGAUAUUUUUCCUGAAUUUACCCCAUUUGAUCUUGUCCUUUUUUUCCUCGACAAGCCAAAUACAUCUGUUCUGUUAAAGUGCCUGUACCUGUUAAGUGUUUGUAUUAUGGGGAAAAUCCUCCCUUAAGACUCCUUCAAUUAAUACAUCUAUGACUACUUUUCUGCUUUUUUGUUCCCCUUUCCUACUCUUCUUUCCAUUUAUUUAUUUUUAUUCUUUAAAUAAAUUUUUUCUCUGCAAGUCCUCAAGGCAGUACUCAAUAAUAUAAAGGGUAUAUAAUUAAUUGGUAGGACUGUCAGAAUUUAACAAAUUUCUUCCAAUAUUUUCUUCCAUAGAAUACUCUUCUCUUCCUCACUCUUUAAACUCUUACUCCCAGGAACUCCCUUCUGAUGGGAAAACGAUGUUCCAAGAAACCUAAAAUGACUUUCUCUGGCUCUCACUGCUAUUUCAGUUGCACAGCUGGGAUUAGAUCUCUGGAGCUCUGAUUUACAAUUAGGCAAUUUAACCUCAAUUCUAUCCCUUGUAGUAAACAGUAAAUAAGACCCAUAUUUCACUUGAAUAUUCUAAUCUGAAAAGAAUAACAUGCCUGAUAUUCUUUCCUUGAAACACUUGGUUUAUAAAAACAUGGAAAGGAUUUUCUAUUCUGAGUGAAUGUGUCAGCAGCUCUGAGAUGACAGCUGAUAAAUUGUCCUUUGAAAUCAUUAAAAAUGCUGUUAAAAAUGUAUAUUUGACAUCUUAAUAUGAAAAUGACAAAAUAAAAUGCUGUGUUCCUGCUUGUCUACCUAAGGCUCUGUACGGCACACUCUAAAUGAUGGUGACUAACACCUGCUGUCAGGCAUUGCCUUCAUAUGCUACAAAAAUAACUUCUCUAAAUAUUCUUAAGAAAGUCAGAAGUGUGUGUCAGCCAUCUGUCUGCCUUAAUUGGUUUUUCAUUAGAAUCCUACCAUUUCUUUGAGUUGUUAUUCCAAUUUUUUCCCUCCAUUUCCUUAAACUGACCUUUGGGUAGGUUGGGAGGGCCAGCCAUGGGAACACAUCUAGUGCACUGCUAGCAAUUGCAGCCAGGCCCAAAGUUAAUGCCCCUUUCAUGUGCACAUUCAGAGUCCCUGUGUGGUGCCUUGCACACUUUGUUUCUCCAGAGUUUUGCAAAAGAACUGGCAAGGGUCAGAUUCAACUAGCACCUCCUGGCUAAUCAAGCAUCAGACCCCCUGCUAGGUGUUUCCCAUGAGAUGCCAUCACACUCACCAAAAAUGGAAAGAGGAGGUUGAGCAGCAGCAAACUCUUGAGCCCUGUAUCCAAGGGAGUCGAAACGGCAAUCCAUAGGAAGUAUCACCUGGCUGUGCAAAUACAAGGUCUGUUUCUCAUUUCUCCUCCUGGCUUGCAAAAGUACUUUCAAACCUCUGCAUCCUUAGUGCAGAAAAGAUCAAAGAUACUCAGAUUCAGAAGAUCCCUGAUAAUCUGAAAAGUGAAAACAGACUUAAGAGAAAUAAUGAAGUUAGUAAUCAAGAACUUAAAACUAUCCACAUUUGAUAUAAGGUUCCUAAAGUAGAACCACAUCACGUGCAACAGGAACAGUGUGAAACAGUGCAAGGAUUCACAACAGCUAAAAAGUAGAUCCUCAGCCAUACUGCCAAAGGAUGUGUCAUCAUCAGUUUCCUACUGAAGAGGAAUAAGAAACUGAUAUCCCAACCCAUUGUGUUUCCUUUGUAGUUUGGUCUAUAUAAGCAAACAUAGUUCUCUUGAAAGGCUGAUAUUCCAGUGUUCUCAAUAAAUCCUUCAGUGGUCCUUGUUAAGUUCAUUAUAAAAGAUUCUCUUAGUAUUGUUACAAAGAGAUACUUGCUAUUGGAAGAACUAACCUGAAUAUCUUACCUGAGUAUUAGACAUAAAAUUCAGGUGACCAGUGUGGACCUAUCCAGGCCAACAG